rnacentral:misc_RNA from 1 species
CGCGCGCAUGGAACAAUACUUAUUACGCGAAACGACUGUCGAGGACGUUCGGCCGCGUUUAAAAUGGACGAGAGACCUUCGGCCGAUGAAGUGGCCGAUUCACGUUGUCGAACAAUUCGUGAUACGUACAGUUAAAGAAUCUCCUGAGCUUGAAAAUUUCGUCUGAGUAUUCGUUCUGUAGUUUAACAAACGCACUAUAUGUAACUAAUUUAUAUCAAAACGGAGCUAAAUAAAGCUUUAGACAUUAAUAAGGUAUGGAAGGUACGGCAACAAGCUGAAACACAGAAUUACAGGAGAAAGUAAAAUAC